rnacentral:RNase_P_RNA from 1 species
AUGGCAGAACGUGUUAUCGCUUUUCUCAAAAGGGAGAAGGGAGGAAAGUCCGGACAGGACAGGGCGCUGCGCUGUUGAAAGACAGAUGUCUGUAAGGGUAUGGAAAUGUAACAGAAAAAAACCGCCCGGGCAACCGGGUAAGGGUGAAAAGGUGAGGCAAGAGCUUACCGCGUCUUGUGGCGACACAGGCGGACAGUACAGCCCGCAGCCUGCAAGACCAUGUAAACCGGCGUUAAGGGUUGCCCGCCCGGUGCCGGAGGGUAGGUCGCAGUUUCCGUGGAAACGCGGAAGAAAGAUAAAUGAUAACAGUCCCGCAGGGGAAUACAGAAUCCGGCUUACAGUUCUGCCAUUUAA